GUGGUUAGCACGCUCGGCUCACAACCAAGAAGGCCCGGGUUCGAAUCCCGGGCGCCGAAUCCCGGGCGCGGCGAGGCAAAUGGGCGAGCCUCUUAAUGUGUAGCCCCUGUUCACCUGGCAGCAAGUAGUUACGGGAUAUAACCCGAGGGAUUGUGACCUCGCUGUCCCGGUGUGUGGUGCGUCCGUGGUCUCAAUCCUAUCCGAAGAUCGGUCACUAUGAGCUCUGAGCUCUUUCAGUAGGGCAGUGGUAUUCAUUGCGCGGCUCGCGAUGACUCAAUUCACGGCUCUCGAAAAAUAUUCCAUGACAAGAGUUAAGCAGCAGCUAGCACACUUCCGCUCAUCACAGCAUUAAAGAAUAGGUAAGGGACGUAAGCUGACGAGUUAUGACCUUGCAACUCGCAACAUGGCCAAGACGCCUAAGCCAGCGUGGUGUGGUAUAUGGCUUAAUCCACACCAAACCAUUAGAGAAGGCCUUUGCUCUGCCCUGGAAUCAUAUCCUUCGGUUUCACGCCCCUCACAGUCAGUUCUUUGCACACUCCAAGCACCUCAUUUUGGCUCAACAAAAGAUAAUGGAUUCUAUCAUUAAGAACUCAUUAUAACGUGAACGGACCGUAUAAGAUAGCAGCCCAUGUAUUCUUCCCCUAGUGUAGGGAGUGCUUACCGGGGAAAUAACAAUAUCAAAAAAGUAUUCGUUAUGAACUGUCAGAGUUUAAUUAAACUUGUCUGCUGUUUCGACAAAAGUGCGAAUUCUUUCACGCCUCCAAGCGUUAACAUUCUUGCCCUGUUGCAAUUGAUUUUUGGUCUAAACACGGAGAGAAAGUCACGCUCCUUCCCAUUUUCUGAGUCAUGAGCCAGCAGUGGGCUAUUACCGCCUCGCUACGUCAAGCAGUUGUUAUUUUCUUGAUUGUGCUGUAGUGUGUGUAAUUGCAUUUCAUAUAAUAUUAACAAAUGAAAGGACAAAUUGUAAUAAUUGAAGUUAAUUUCUUAGAUUGAAGUUGAAUGUUAUAUUAUUAUUAUUUAGUUUUCUUUAAUCUCCUGGUGGAGAAUUUGUACUUUCACACACACAUGGAAAUUAGUAGAAUUUAUAAUUGCGGAUUAAGGAAUUUAAAAAAAAAUCGCCAUCGUUCUUUAAAAUAGGGAUUGCCUGCUGGGAGUGUGUUUCCGUAACAUCCAUGGUGUUUGAUUGGUCAUGUUGGUUCUGCAGUUUAGCUUCAAGCUACAAAUUAUUUUUAUUUUAUUCUCUGGAGAAAAUAAUUAAAGAAUUUAUAUACUGAAAAAAGAGAGCAAAUUUUCUUUGAGGGUAAGACCUGAAAGAGGUGACAAAGAAAGUAUAAGAUCAUAACAUACAAGACAUUAAACAAAUAGUGAUUAUGGGAGAGUGUGAGUUCAGAGCGAUGCGGAAGAAGGGACUCCGCGCCCAACCGGCUGAGGCAAACCUCUUCAAGACCAACCGGGAACCUGCUAGUGACAGUCUUAUGAUUGCAUGUAUCAACAUAAAGAUUGAAUGAACAUAUGUACAUUUUUAUAUCUAUGUGCCUACGUGUGUGUGUGUGUGUGUGUGUGUGUGUGUGUGUGUGUGUGUGUGUGUGUAU